CCAUGUGCCACCUCAAGCCAGAGCGACAUUAGUCCAAGUGGCAGCCAGGAAGAAGCUGGCCAAGACAGAGCAUCAGAAUCAGACCAAGAGCUGCCAUCCCUGCUUGAUGAUCCUGUGGCUUCU